rnacentral:rRNA from 1 species
UACGUAGGGUGCGAGCGUUAAUCGGAAUUACUGGGCGUAAAGCGUGCGCAGGCGGUUCGUCAAGUCUGAUGUGAAAGCCCCGGGCUCAACCUGGGAAUGGCAUUGGAUACUAGCGAGCUUGAGUGUGGCAGAGGGGGGUGGAAUUCCACGUGUAGCAGUGAAAUGCGUAGAGAUGUGGAGGAACACCGAUGGCGAAGGCAGCCCCCUGGGCUAACACUGACGCUCAGGCACGAAAGCGUGGGGAGCAAACAGG